CAACCCUUAUUGUUAGUUGCUACCAUUUAGUUGAGCACUCUAGCAAGACUGCCGUGGUUAACGCGGAGGAAGGUGGGGAUGACGUCAAAUCAUCAUGCCCCUUAUGUCUAGGGCUACACACGUGCUACAAUGGCGAGUACAAAGAGACGCAAAGCCGCGAGGUGGAGCAAAACUUAUAAAACUCGUCUCAGUUCGGAUUGCAGGCUGAAACUCGCCUGCAUGAAGCUGGAGUUGCUAGUAAUCGCGAAUCAGAAUGUCGCGGUGAAUACGUUCCCGGGCCUUGUACACACCGCCCGUCACACCAUGAGAGUUGGCAAUACCCGAAGUCCGUAGCCUAACCUUUUAGGAGGGCGCGGCCGAAGGUAGGGUCAGCGAUUGGGGUGAAGUCGUAACAAGGUAGCCGUAGGAGAACCUGCGGCUGGAUCACCUCCUUUCUAUGGAGA
rnacentral:rRNA from 1 species